rnacentral:lncRNA from 1 species
UAAAAUUUACGAAUGCCACAAUCCAUCGGGUAAAAAAAUUUACAGACAUCGAAAAUUACUAUCGCGUUAGAAGAGAACAUGAAACUCCCGAGCUCAAUCGAUCACACUAAUUAAAACAGAAUAUAAACAAGUAGAUAGUUAAAAUAGCUUGAAACUCCCUUUGAUUUCUAAUAAAGUUUUCUGAUAGAGUCUCUAAAUAACCUUUGAUUUCUGGUGGUUGUGCCAACAUAUGGCUUCAACUGUGAGUCUGCGGCAGGGGAAGCAACUCUCGAUUCAGAAGCAACAUAAGCUAGCCUGAACUGCAAAACGACGAUGUACCCUUCACUUGUAAAACAUGUUUUCACACUAAUCCUUCAACAAGGGACUAAUGUUUUCACACUAAUCCAACUUUCAAACAAUUUUGGUUACAAACACAAUCCAGCACUCAGGUUUUCAUAACCAUCAACAAAAUCCUUCGAUGGGCUCUUUCAUUUGC